rnacentral:lncRNA from 1 species
UGAUGAGGAAACCUAGAUUUCCAAGACUUCAUAUCACAGUGCUCAUAAGAGUAGAUCCUGGAUUCAAGGUCUUACUGCUCCUGAAGCCUGUUUAUUUAUCCACAGGAUACUCUCCUGAUAUACCACGAUGCAGAAUGUCAAGUAGGAAAAGAAGCUGUUGCAUUGGGCAAUUAAGAAGUCAUUGGUGAGAGAAGUUUCAGUGAAUGAGCGAAUGAUGGAUCCAUCUCUUGAAGCAAUACUUGAAUCGCAGAAUUCUUAUAUUGAUAGAAGCAGAAGGAAACCAGAAGUGCUCCAAUUAAAGGCCUCCAUUUUUCAGAUCAGCAGACUAUGAGCCAUGCAUAGGAUCACACACAGGUGUGGUAGAGCAGGGACCAUGACUCUUGGUCCUGUGUUAUUUCCGUUUCUGCGUGCCAAUGCCUACUCUAUGGCUGCUGGAGAGGGAGGAGGUUGGGGAAGGUGGAAACACCUGGAGUGGAAAAGAGAAGUGCUGGGAACAGAGGACACUAGUGCCUUCAGCACAUCCCAUCUUCCCAUUGCCACUCAGCUGACCUAUCAGCAAAGGUGGGAGUGAAAGUUACAGGGAUUCUGGGCCAGGUGCAGUGGCUCAUGGCUGUAAUCCCAGCACUUUGAGAGGCCGAGGCGGGCAGAUCACCUGAGGUCAGGAGUUUGAGACCAGCCUGGCCAACAUGGUGAAAUCCCGUCUCUACUAAAAAUACAAAAAUUAGCCGGGCAUGGUGGCACCCGCCUGUAAAUCCGGCUACUUAGGAGGCUAAGGCAGGGGAAUUGCUUGAAUCCAGGAGGUGGAGGUUGCAGUGAGCUGAGAUCAUGCCACUGCACUCCUGCCUGGGCGACAGCAAGACUCCAUCUCAAAAAAAAAAAAAAAAUUACUGGGAUUCUGGAAGGGAGAGGAAUAAAAAUGAUGUGUGGGACAUACCAAAUAGAGUGGGCGGGGCAUCAAGACUUCCCCCCAACUUUCCAUCAUAAAUUUAGAGUGCCUUUUCUUUUUCUGUAGCUCUUUUAAAAAUUAUGAGCCACUCAGCCUCGGCCUCCGGAGGUGCCGGGAUUGCAGACGGUGUCUGGUUCACUCAGUGCUCAAUGGUGCCCAGGCUGGAGUGCAGUGGCGUGAUCUCGGCUCGCUACAACCUCCACCUCCCAGCCGCCUGCCUUGGCCUCCCAAAGUGCCCAGAGUGCAGCCUCUGCCCGGCCGCCACCCCGUCUGGGAAGUGAGGGGCGUCUCUGCCUGGCCGCCCAUCGCUAAUCUCAAGUACCCAGGGACACAAACACUGUGGAAGGCCGCAGGAUCCUCUGCCUAGGAAAACCAGAGACCUUUGUUCACUUGUUUAUC